CAAUAGCGUAUAUUAACGUUGUUGCAGUUAAAAAGCUCGUAGUUGGAUUUCUGGAGGGAGCGUCGGCCCGUAUUUACGAGAGCGUGACGUCUCUGUCCAUCCUUGCGGGAAGGCACGGCAUUGAUUUGUUGUGUCGGAUCGCAUCAUUUACUGUGAAAAAAUUAGAGUGUUCAAAGCAGGCUUUCGCUUGAAUACAUUAGCAUGGAAUAAUAAGAUAGGACUUUGGUGCUAUUUUGUUGGUUGAGCCUAAAGUAAUGAUUAAUAGGGAUAGUUGGGGGCACCUGUAUUGCGUUGUCAGAGGUGAAAUUCUUGGAUUUACGCAAGACAAACAGCUGCGAAAGCGUCUGCCAAGGAUGUUUUCAUUAA
rnacentral:rRNA from 1 species